rnacentral:rRNA from 1 species
AUGAAGGGACUCUUGCUGUGCACGCUCGCACUUGCCUUGGCUGCGGGGACCACCCACGCCCAGCUGCAGUCCUGCCCUACGCGCUGCGGCAAGCAGGCGGACGGCAUGGAGUGCCCCAACAACCUCUGCUGCAGCAAGAAUGGGUACUGCGGCCUGGGCGUGAACUACUGCAGCGCUGGCGCCGGCUGCCAGAGCGGCGCCUGCUACGACAACAAGAUCUGCGGCGCGCAGGCCAAUGGCACACUGUGCCCUAACAACCACUGUUGUGGCUCGGGUGGUCGCUGCGGCUACGGCAGAUAAUACUGCGGCAACGGCUGCCAGAACGGUCCUUGUUGGGCUGAUCUCAAGUGUGGUCAUCUGGACAAUGGUAAGCUCUGCCCCAACAACCUCUGCUGCAGCCAGUACGGUUACUGUGGCCUAGGACCGGAGUUCUGUGGUACUGGCUGCCAAAACGGCGCUUGCAGCACAGACAAGCCGUGUGGCAACAAGGCUAAUGGUGCACCAUGCACCAACAACUAUUGUGGCAGCCUGUAUGGCUCUUGUGGGCUUGGCAAGGAUUACUGUGGUACCGGCUGCCAGAGCGGCGCAUGCAACUAG